AAUCCAUAGGUUAAUGAGGCGAACCGGGGGAACUGAAACAUCUAAGUACCCCGAGGAAAAGAAAUCAACCGAGAUUCCCCCAGUAGCGGCGAGCGAACGGGGAGGAGCCCAGAGCCUGAAUCAGCAUGUGUGUUAGUGGAAGCGUCUGGAAAGGCGCGCGAUACAGGGUGACAGCCCCGUACACAAAAGCGCAUGUGCUGUGAGCUCGAUGAGUAGGGCGGGACACGUGGUAUCCUGUCUGAAUAUGGGGGGACCAUCCUCCAAGGCUAAAUACUCCUGACUGACCGAUAGUGAACCAGUACCGUGAGGGAAAGGCGAAAAGAACCCCGGCGAGGGGAGUGAAAAAGAACCUGAAACCGUGUACGUACAAGCAGUGGGAGCCCCACCACCAAAGCAUUUGCUGUACCGCGUUGACGGAGCGAAGCGACGUCAAACCGAUAAA
rnacentral:rRNA from 1 species